rnacentral:rRNA from 1 species
AUUGAACGCUGGCGGCAGGCCUAACACAUGCAAGUCGAGCGGAGCGGCGGACGGGUGCGUAAUGCCUAGGAAUCUGCCUGGUAGUGGGGGAUAACGUCCGGAAACGGGCGCUAAUACCGCAUACUAUCAGAUGAGCCUAGGUCGGAUUAGCUAGGUGGUGGGGUACAGGCCUACCAAGGCGAGUAUCCGUAACUGGUCUGAGAGGAUGAGCAGGCACACUGGAAAGGGGACACGGUCCAGACUACGACGGGAGGCAGCAGUGGGGAAUAUGGGAGAAUGGGCGAAAGCCGGAGCCAGCCAUGCCGGGUGGGUGAAGAAGGUCUUCGGAGUGUAAAGCACUUUAAGUUGGGAGGCGGUACCAACAGAAUAAGCACCGGCUAACUUCGUGCCAGCAGCCGCGGUAAUAC